GUAAGAUUUGUUUGAUUUUUAUUAGUUACUGUUCGUUAAAAAAAUUAAUUGUUAUAAAUAAACUUUAAGUAAACAAAUUCACAAAUUCAACAAAUUUAGAGACGCAAGCCAUGGGAGCAUUUCUUGGAAAGUGGGUGCUUAUCUCCACUUUCUCCCCCGGCAUUGACAGUCCUUUGGAACCCCCUUUAAGUAAACAAAUUCACAAUAUAUUUUCACUUUUAUUUUGGUUGAAAACCAAUUUUAUAACAACAAAAAAGAUUCUUUCAAUAUUGUUUCAUUUUUUUAAAUUUCUCAGGCUGCUCAACAGCUGUUCAAUUUAGUAUUCAAAGCAAUGCUGUGGUCUGCACCUCCAAUGCUGCUGAAGAAAUAGAGAUUGCGAACAGUACAGUACAGAAGAAAACCAUGUUUAUGACUCAGUAAUAUAUACAGGAUAUCAGACCAUCCAGCCUGAAACUUCGGAGAGCCUAACUGAAAGCAUCCCCACCAGUAUUGCUGACCAAACUAGUGUUUGUGAUUUCAAAUUUUUUAUUUGACCAUUCCUGUUCCAGCCCAAGACUUCAGAGGGCCUAACUAUAACUAUUAAUAGAACCUCCACCCGUAUUGCUGACCAAACUGAAACUGAUCCAGUUUAUAUUAAUAUGGCUUGCCAAACUAAUGUUUGAGCUCUCUAUUUUUUUUUUGUUUGACAACACCAGAUCCAGCCCAAAUCUUCAGAGUGCCUUAUUGAAAGCAUCUAUAAAAUACCUACAAACAAUGCUGUCCGAAUUUUCCAGCCCAAGACUUCAGAGAGUCAAACUGCAACUAUUAGUAGAACCUCUACCUGUGUUGCUGACCAAACUACUGUCAAUGAAAGGAAUAAAUGAAAACAUUUGAGCAGCCUUAAACAUACUGAAAUUUUAUUCUACAAAAAUGUAACUUCCUUCAGAAUGAAAAAAAAACAAGUUUUGGGCAAUUAUAUGGAAAAAAAAAACAAGUUUGGGACAAUUUUUAAAAAAUGUCUGAAUCAGGUCUUUUUGAAUGAUUGUUGUGUUUUUUUAAUUUUAAAAUAAUUUUUGUGUGUGUUUUAGAUCUAUAUGUUAUCACUGUAAAAUUGAGUCGUUUAAUUUCAUAUGCAUAAGUCUUGUUAAGUUGUUCAGUAUUUCUUAGAGAUAUUUCCUUUUGAUACCAUCAUAAGCGAUUUAAGUUGAUGUACUAGUACAUUGUUUUCUUGACAUUUUUUUUAGUAAGUAUUUAUGUUAUGAGUGCUGCUUUCAAUCUGUUAGUAUUACUUCUUCCAAAAUUCUUGAUAUUGGUUAGUCUAAUUGUGAAUUCAGGUGUUUUCCUCCAUUUUUUUUAGCUCUGUUGUAAUUUUGGUCCUCUCCUGGUGCUUCUAAUUUUUUAUUUCUGAUGUUUAAAUUAGAGUUGGUGAGUUUAUAGUGUUGGUAGGUUUAUUGUGUUGGUGGCUGUUCAUAUUUUCCUUUGUCUCCAUCUUGUUUUAUUUAGGAACUCCUCAAAGUAUUCAGCCCAUUUGUCAAUGACCCUUCUGUUUUUUUUGUGACGAGGACACCAUUAUAGUUCUCAUACAUGUGUGAUCCGCUUGUAAUCCAUUCUUGUCAUCCCUUAUUUUCAUGCCCAUUCCUCUCGCAUCAAGGUUCUCAAUGAGUGCUCUUUGUUUUUUUUUGAUUGCCUCAUUUUUAUUCUUUCUGACAGAUUUUGUAACUCUUCGCCUUGCUUCCUUGUACUGCUUUCUGGUUUCUUUCUUUAGCAUUAUUUGUCUGUUCAAUAUGCCUGCAUUCUAUAUGUCAGGCUCUCCUUUUCUUUUGCUUAAAUCCAACCAUGUCAUCUGCUUUACUUUUAAUAGCAUGUUGUUGUUUUUUUAUUGCUCAUUUGUUAUAAUUAGGAUUACCCACAGGCUAUGUCUGUUGUUGUGCUUCAACAAUUUAUCUUUUGGUCUGUGAAUUCUAGUAUAUGCUUCAUUUAAUUGGAGUGGCCAGCUUUAAAUUCCUUCCCAUACACACUUCUGGCCUGUGAACUGUUCUCACGUAACAUUUUGACCCAAUAUCCCCCAUCCAAUUUCAAUACUCUUCUAAGAUAUUACUUUAAAUUAGAGCGGCUCACUUAUAUUGACUUUCCAUACACAAACACAUCCUUCUGGCCAUUUUUUUUUUUAACCACCACCCCAACACACAAAAUAAAAUAUCUAUAUCUGCAUUUUCUUUUUAAAACAUUUUACACACAUGAAAAAAAUUUGUGUCCUAGCUUUGAUAGAAAAAAAAAGAUUGUUUUCAUAUAAUGUCUACAAAAACAAGUUUGGUGCCACAUAUUGCCAUUGAAAUUUACUUUCAAAAGUUUUUUUUUUUUAAUGGUGAUUAAAACAGAAAAAAGAAUAAAAUGGUCUUUUUGUUAUAGCAACUUGAAGAUAAAAUUGGGAAUGAAACAUCAUUUUGGGAAGUUUUAAUGGCUGUAGUUUCCAUUUGUGAACUGGCUUAGUUGUUCUAGAGCAGGGGUUCUCAACCUGUGGGUCGCGACCCCCUUGGGUGUCGCCUAAGACCAUCGAAAAUAUGGACUGUUUUUGUCUAUUCUUCUUUUGCUGUGUGUGUGUUGGGGGGGGGUCGCGGCCGAGUGGGGGAUUCUAAAAAGGGGUCACCAAGCUUAAAAGGUUGAGAACCGCUGUUCUAGAGACAAGUUAAGUAAUAACAAGUUAAAUUUGUAUUUUUUUUUAGUUCACCACAAUCGGGGUACCGUAACUAGUGAAUGGUGAGAGAAUCAGUAAGUGCCCUUAGAAUUAUAGUCUAGAUUGUAAUUGUCCUUUUCCAAUGCUGUUAGAUGUGUUAGGAAUUCUUAAGUUUCUGCAUCAAGUGGGUCUAUCAUGAGUUUUUGAGUAUCAUAUUGCUGUGCUACUUUGGUUAUUGUAUAUUUUACUUUUACUCUUUGUCUAAAUUUAGCUUUGGCUACUAGAUGGUCUGCAUCUGUUUCUCUGAAACUUCUUACAUGAAAGACAUCAAAUCUACAUCUUUUACUUAUGAUUAUCCAUAUAUGAUCUAUUUGAUUUUGGUUUUUCCAUCAGGUGAGAUCCAUGUUGCUUUGUACAUUUUCUUAUGCUGGCAUUUAGUGCUACAGAUAGACAUUCCUUUUCCUGAGGCCAAGCCCAGUAAUGUUAGGUCAUUAUUAUUUGCCUCUUCAUAUAAGUUUUCUUUGCGGAUUAUUGGUCUGAAGGCGAAUUCUUUUCCAAUGUUGGCAUUGAAAUCUCCUAGAACUAUUUUGAUGUCCUGCAGUGUUGCCUUGUCAUGAAUUCUUCUAGUCCAUCAUAGAAGGCUUAUUGUGUGAUCAAUGCUUUUUCCUUCAACGUUUAGGGCGUUUAAUUAUAGCCUAAACAUUUUUAAAAAAUUAACUUUAUAUUAUUCAUAUUUGUUUUAGCUUUCCCAACAAUAUUUUUUUUUAUAUGACUGUUGUUAACCCUGCGCACAACCAGAUGAGAAAAGUUCCAGCUUGAUUUAAUUGUGAUCCUUCAGUUGUGAAACUACUAUAUGGAAAUGAAUCCCUGUGCAAUGGCAAUGGUCGAAACUAUAUCUCCUCAGCAGUUUCCCUCUCUCCAAGCAACUGAUCUAGAUCCAAAGGAACAGCAAGUGUCGAUACAAGAUCAGUGGCCUCACAGGCUUUAUACUAUUGUCUUUCUACUUCUGCUGAUGAAUUUCAGAAUUAUGGCCCUUGAAGGCCUGAUUGUUAAUUUGUUUACCAACAUUGCAUUGCACUAUAUAAAAUUAUUUUAUAAGCUUUGGAAGGUGCCUGUUUUCUUCGUAUUCAACUUUUUUUUUUUUGCAUGUUAACUUCGAACAUUUACUUUUUAAAAAUUAAUGUAGCCAUGAUAUCUGGACAGUUAUUUUGUAGGGAUACUGUUUGAGUCACAGCUUUUCUGGAAUGUUACUUGCGAGUUGCAUAAUCAAACUAUCGAUGUGAGGAAAUAAAGUACUAAGGUUAUUACCUGCAUGUAAGGCUUGUUAUUUACCUAAAAUUAGGAUGAACUAUUUAUUAUGAACUAUUUGUUGAGAUUAAAAUUUUGAAACAG